rnacentral:tRNA from 1 species
GGGCGAGUGAUGGAAUUGGUAUACAUAGCGGACUUAAAAUCCGUGCCUUUUGGCAUGAGGGUUCGAGCCCCUCCUCGCCCACCA